rnacentral:rRNA from 1 species
GACGAAGGGGGCUAGCGUUGUUCGGAAUUACUGGGCGUAAAGCGCGUGUAGGCGGUUGUCCAAGUCGGAUGUGAAAGCCCUCGGCUUAACCGAGGAAGUGCAUUCGAAACUGACAGUCUUGAGUAUGGAAGAGGGUCGCGGAAUUCCCGGUGUAGAGGUGAAAUUCGUAGAUAUCGGGAGGAACACCAGUGGCGAAGGCGGCGACCUGGGCCAAUACUGACGCUGAGGUGCGAAAGCGUGGGGAGCAAACAGG